CUUGAACUUGAAGUGUUUAGUAUCACAAGUUGCAUAUUAAUAACGAAUAAUAUAAAAAAAUCUACGACAAUGGCACGGCUAAUUGUUUUGUCUCUCCUUUUCGUUGCAGUCUGUAUUUAUGGUUUUCAAAAACGUAAAUCCUGCGGUCCUAAUGAAGAAUGGCGUAUAUGUGCAGUGCUACCAUUUUGCGAACCUAAAUGUGGUCAAGUUUUUCAGCCACUCUGUCCUCCGAUUUGCAAUUCUGGUUGCCAGUGCUCGGAAGGAUACAAAAGAAAUGUAACUACUAAUCUUUGCGUUAAGUGUUUUUAAAGUUACAAAGUUGUAUUGAACGAAGAAUGAUUAUUUUAAUUAUUUUAUUUUAUUUUAUAAUAAUAGGUACAUAUAUAAAAUAUAUAAAAGUUUCUGUAUAUUAUAAUGCAUCAAGUGCACGUACUUUGCGCAGAUUAAAGAUAUUUUGAUAUUAUAUUUUGAUAUUAUAUUUUGAUAAGAAAAUAGAUUAUAUAUAGUUCUUAAUGAUGUUGAACUCCAUCAUAUAUACGAUGCAAUAUCGAUAUAACGUGAAACAUAAAAAGAAGUGAUUGCCGAUAGAUUAAACUUAAUUGUCAUUUAUAAUUGUAAUCGAUGUGCUAUCUAUUCAUGUACUUGAUGA